GGAAGCCUGUGGCUUGGUGGCAGAGCAUCUGCUUUGCAUGCAGAAGGUCCCAGGUUUAAUCUCCAGCAUCUCCA